UCUAGAGGCUUCGUCAAUGGGGGCAACCCUGAACGAGCGACGCCGCGUGCGGGAUGAAGGGCUUCGGCUUGUAAACCGCUUUUGUUCGGGACGAAGGCCCCGGUCGUGAACCGGGGAUUGACGGUACCGGACGAAUAAGCCUCGGCUAACUCCGUGCCAGCAGCCGCGGUAAGACGGAGGAGGCAAGCGUUGUUCGGAAUUAUUGGGCGUAAAGGGCUCGUAGGCGGGCAAGCAAGUCUGGCGGGAAAUCUCCACCGCUCACCGGGGAGGGGUCGCUGGAAACUACUUGUCUGGAGUUCGGUAGAGGGCUGUGGAAUUCCGCAUGUAGCGGUGGAAUGCGUAGAUAUGCGGAAGAACACCUGUGGCGAAGGCGGCAGCCUGGGCCGAAACUGACGCUGAGGAGCGAAAGCCAGGGGAGCAAACG
rnacentral:rRNA from 1 species